CAUUAGUGAUUGGCUUCGGCCUAAUUCGAUUCAAACCUCUGUGAACCGUGGCCUCCGGGCCGAUUUUAAACAUCAGUGUAAAGAAUGUAAACAUUAUAACAAAUAAAACUUUCAACAACGGAUCUCUUGGCUCUCGCAUCGAUGAAGAACGCAGCGAAAUGCGAUAAGUAAUGUGAAUUGCAGAAUUCAGUGAAUCAUCGAAUCUUUGAACGCACCUUGCGCCUUUUGGUAUUCCGAAAGGCAUGCCUGUUUGAGUGUCAUGAAACUUUCAACCCCCGGGUUUCCGGGAGGCUUGGACUUGGGCGCUGCCGCUUGGCUCGCCUCAAAUGUGUUAGUGGACUAGGUCUUUUGCUUGACGUAAUAAGUUUCGUCUCGUGAUCUCCGACGCCCGCUCAUAACCCCCAUAUUUUGUGCUCUGACCUCAAAUCAGGUAGGACUACCCGC
rnacentral:rRNA from 1 species